rnacentral:rRNA from 1 species
GAUGAACGCUGGCGGCGUGCUUAACACAUGCAAGUCGAACGGUGAAGCAGGAGCUUGCUCUUGUGGAUCAGUGGCGAACGGGUGAGUAACACGUGAGCAACCUGCCCCUGACUCUGGGAUAAGCGCUGGAAACGGCGUCUAAUACUGGAUAUGUGAUGUGACCGCAUGGUCUGCAUCUGGAAAGAAUUUCGGUUGGGGAUGGGCUCGCGGCCUAUCAGGUUGUUGGUGAGGUAAUGGCUCACCAAGGCGUCGACGGGUAGCAGGCCUGAGAGGGUGACCGGCCAAACGGAGACUGGGACACGGCCCAGACUCCUACGGGAGGCAGCAGUGGGGAAUAUUGCACAAUGGGCGGGAGCCUGAUGCAGCAAAGCCGCGUGAGGGAUGACGGGCUUCGGGUUGUAAACCUCUUUUAGCAGGGAAGAAGCGAAAGUGACGGUACCUGCAGAAAAAGCACCGGCUAACUACGUGCCAGCCGCCGCGGUAA